CAGUAGCCACGGUAAUACGUAGGGUGCAAGCGUUAAUCGGAAUUACUGGGCGUAGAGCGUGCGCAGGCGGUUUGUUAAGACAGAUGUGAAAUCCCCGGGCUCAACCUGGGAACUGCAUUGGUGACUGGCAGGCUAGAGUGUGGCAGAGGGGGGUGGAAUUCCGCGUGUAGCAGUGAAAUGCGUAGAGAUCGGAAGGAACAUCUGUGGCGAAGGCGACUAUCUGGGCCAACACUGACACUGAGGCACGAAAGCGUGGGGAGCAAACAGGAUUAGAUACCCGCGUAGUCCCUGUCUCUUAUAC
rnacentral:rRNA from 1 species